rnacentral:rRNA from 1 species
UACGGAGGGGACUAGCGUUGUUCGGAAUUACUGGGCGUAAAGCGCACGUAGGCGGAUUUGUAAGUCAGGGGUGAAAUCCCGGGGCUCAACCUCGGAACUGCCUUUGAUACUGCAAAUCUCGAGUCCGGAAGAGGUGAGUGGAAUUCCUAGUGUAGAGGCGAAAUUCGUAGAUAUUAGGAAGAACACCAGUGGCGAAGGCGGCUCACUGGUCCGGUACUGACGCUGAGGUGCGAAAGCGUGGGGAGCAAACAGG